AUCCUCUCCCUACCCCCUGAAACGAAACGUGUGUUCUCAGCCCCCUUCCUCCUCAUCUUCCCACCCCCAGCCCGGGAUUCGUUGUCUAGAGACCAAAGGUCUGGUACCCGACUUGCCCAGCGACUGGGCGUUUCAUUCCUUAGCCUGUUCGUCCCUCUGCACAACAGGAGUCUGGUCAGAAAAUGUCCCUGCUGGUGGCGUGGGUCUACGAUUCUGCCCCUUCCCGGUCAGACGGACAGACAGCGGGGCACAGACACAGAACAAGAGUAAAACAAGCUUUCCAGGACAAAAUGGACGGAUUUUCCCCCCAUCAAAGGCAAGAAG